rnacentral:rRNA from 1 species
AUGGCUGUCGUCAGCUCGUGUUGUGAAAUGUUGGGUUAAGUCCCGCAACGAGCGCAACCCUUAUCCUUGUUUGCCAGCGAGUAAUGUCGGGAACUCCAGGGAGACUGCCGGUGAUAAACCGGAGGAAGGUGGGGACGACGUCAAGUCAUCAUGGCCCUUACGAGUAGGGCUACACACGUGCUACAAUGGCGCAUACAGAGGGCAGCCAACUUGCGAAAGUGAGCGAAUCCCAAAAAGUGCGUCGUAGUCCGGAUUGGAGUCUGCAACUCGACUCCAUGAAGUCGGAAUCGCUAGUAAUCGUGGAUCAGAAUGCCACGGUGAAUACGUUCCCGGGCCUUGUACACACCGCCCGUGGGGCGGGGGCGGCGGGCGGGCGCGGGGCGCGGCGGGCG